rnacentral:rRNA from 1 species
AGUAAUGUCUGGGAAACUGCCUGAUGGAGGGGGAUAACUACUGGAAACGGUAGCUAAUACCGCAUAACGUCGCAAGACCAAAGAGGGGGACCUUCGGGCCUCAUGCCAUCAGAUGUGCCCAGAUGGGAUUAGCUAGUAGGUGGGGUAACGGCUCACCUAGGCGACGAUCCCUAGCUGGUCUGAGAGGAUGACCAGCCACACUGGAACUGAGACACGGUCCAG